UACGAAGGGGGCUAGCGUUGCUCGGAAUUACUGGGCGUAAAGGGCGCGUAGGCGGCCAUAUAAGUCAGGCGUGAAAUUCCUGGGCUUAACCUGGGGGCUGCGCUUGAGACUGUGUGGCUUGAGGUCAGAAGAGGGUCGUGGAAUUCCCAGUGUAGAGGUGAAAUUCGUAGAUAUUGGGAAGAACACCGGUGGCGAAGGCGGCGACCUGGUCUGAUACUGACGCUGAGGCGCGACAGCGUGGGGAGCAAACAGG
rnacentral:rRNA from 1 species